UACGGGGGGGGCAAGCGUUGUUCGGAAUUACUGGGCGUAAAGGGCUCGUAGGUGGUCAACUAAGUCGGACGUGAAAUCCCUCGGCUUAACCGGGGAACUGCGUCCGAUACUGGAUGACUUGAGUUCGGGAGAGGGAUGCGGAAUUCCAGGUGUAGCGGUGAAAUGCGUAGAUAUCUGGAGGAACACCGGUGGCGAAGGCGGCAUCCUGGACCGACACUGACACUGAGGAGCGAAAGCCAGGGGAGCAAACGGG
rnacentral:rRNA from 1 species